GAUGAAGAACGCAGCGAAAUGCGAUAAGUAAUGCGAAUUGCAGAAUUUCCGUGAGUCAUCGAAUCUUUGAACGCACAUUGCGCCCCUUGGUAUUCCAUGGGGCAUGCCUGUUCGAGCGUCAUUUGUACCCUCAAGCUUUGCUUGGUGUUGGGCGUCUUGUCUCGCGUUGCGCGUAGACUCGCCUUAAAGCGAUUGGCAGCCGGCAUUUUGGCCUUGGAGCGCAGCACAUUUUGCGUCUCCAACCAGGAAAGUCGACGUCCAUUAAGCCUAUACAUUUGCUCUUGACCUCGGAUCAGGUAGGGAUACCCGCUGAACUUAAGCAUAUCAAUAAGCGGAGGA
rnacentral:misc_RNA from 1 species